AAGCUGGAAGGCCUGGUUCUGGCCAGGCGUGGGCUACAGCCUUAACAGAGAGGCAGUGUUCCCCAGGAUCCAGCAAGGCAGUGACGGGGAUCAAGUAUACUGAUUGUUCAGAGCAACACAUCUAGCUCAGAACAUGAGCUUCUAGAGAGCAGUGUUUUCAGCCUCAUCACGCGGAGAAAGACUGAGGGAAAAGAGGAUGUUCCCCUAAAGAAAUAUGUGGAGAAAGCGUGGGGUUGCGAGUCUGACAUCGCAGUUGGAACUUUGCCUCCAUUCUCCAGCUAGCAUCGAAGAUGGGGAACCAACGCCCAGGAAGUGAAAGCUCAAACAGCUGGUCAACACCAAUAUGGGGACUUCAGCUUUGGUUUAUCUAAAUCCAAAACUGAUGGUCUUCAAUGAUGUAAG